CAUAAGUAAAGGACAGCUGAAGGUUGGAAAACACUCUGCAGACGGCUGACCAGCAGGGAGAAGUCUGAGGUUUUCUGCCGCCAUGUUUCCGGCGGUGUACCUCCUCCCGCUGAUGCUGCUAUCUGGGCUGAGCUCAGAAUCCACAGCCACUCAAUCUGACAACAGCACUGGCAAGAAAUACUUCAUUGUUUUGCCGGAGAACAUUGCCUCCUAUCAUCCUAUUCCACCCAAAAACCAGAUCUAUGUCACUGCCUUAUAUAAUGACACAAGCGUAACAAUCAUACAGCACACCUACAAUACAAGAACAGUGACCAUGCAGGCUGCAGAAAGUCGUGAUUUCAUUCUGGAUGGAAGACUGGAGCUCGGUAAGGCAGCAAUCUCUAACAACGUGCUUGAAAUUACCAGCACCAAAGAAAUCACUAUCCAGGCCAUUAGCUUUAGAAACUCCAGUAUCCAGACUGCUCUGGUUAUACCGACUGACAAACUCGCCAAAAAGUACCUCAUCCCACCAAUACCCCAAAUCCAAGGAUCCACUUUACUUGCUGACGUAGUCACCACACUGGUAACAGAGCGAGCCCCGUUCAAACUCAUUAUUGUCAAUGGUGAUAAGGCAAACAAGAUAACUGUCAAAGGCAACGUCCUCAAAGAAGUUAAUCUUCAGCCCAAACAGGUCGCUCAGAUCUGGGUACGAGAAAAAGAAGCCUUGCGAGUCGUGGAAGCCACACAGCCAGUGGCGGUCCUUUUUGGCCAUCCAUGUGCCAUCCAGAGUAAAUGCAAUUGUGGGCUGCUGUACACCAUGUUGUCGCCAGCCAGAGAUGAGACCCUCAAGUUCUUCAUUCCUUCAACUUUUCCAUGGGAAGAUGAAACAAAAAUACUCUUAUCAGAGACAGGAUCUGCAAAAAUAGAGGCCUUCAGCCCAGACUCACCACUGAUCAAGGUAGCCGGUACAGCCAUCCUCUACCAUCCAAAAUUACUCCUCACUCUGAUCCCAGAGACAGACUUUGCCUGUUGUUAUGUUGUCACCCCCAUCCCUGACAUGCAAAACUAUGCUGUAAUCGUGGUGCACAAGGACCAAACUGAGGGUGUUCAUGUCGGAAAGAAUCCUCAUCAAGGCUCAGAGUGGACGGAACUGAAAGGGACUGAUUAUGUUUCGACAAAAAUUACUGUGCAACCAAGAGCUACACCUGACUCAUCUAUAUCAACUACCAUCAUCUGGCAUGCUUCCUCCAAAAUGGCUGUCUAUUUUCUGGGACAAGACAGCAACAGUAUAUUUGGAAACCCAGCACCUGUGAUCAGCAAAUCCCCAGAUUACAGGGGUUGCGUCUUAAUUCCAGGGGUCAUAAAAAUCGGAGACAAUGCAGACGGCUGGCGUGAAUCUCUGAAAUACUGCCGCGACAAGGACAUGGAGUUGAUCUGCCUCUCCGAGGCCAAAUCUCAACCACAAGCCACCAAAAGACUGAGCGAGCUCAACAACGGCAACCUGCAGGAGGUAUGGAUAGGCAUGCGUCAGAGUUCCCUCACCGGGGAGUAUUACUGGGUAAAUGAGGAUCCUGUCAAAAGCACCAACUGGCAAAAUGGUGAGCCCUCGAUUGAGACCAGCCACAAGUGUGUCCUCAUGGGUGCGAAGAGUGACAAGGACUUCAGCUGGAGGAGUGAGGAUUGCUGUAAGGCCUUCCAUCCUGUCUGCUACACAGAGACGGAGAUCUUAGAAUCGUGGGAUGAUUGAUAAAGUAAUGUAAUUGGUCUUAUCCACCACCAUAAUGUAGCUGCUAUGCUCUAUUAUAAAUAUUCUUACAUUAUUAGAAGUCAUUAAAAUUGGUCUAAGUAUACAGAAGUUUAGGUUUGAGAAAUGUUUUCUAUCUGAAAAAGUUGUCAAAAAUCCAGAAGGAAGACAAUGUUGUCUGCAAUGCUGUUAGCUACAAAAUGUUUUGUAAACCUACAGUCUGUAUGCAGGAACCUCUUCCUUCAGUUUCUUUCAGGUCUGGAAUUUGCUGAAAAAUUUGUGUUGGAUUUCAGAGAUUUCAGCACCGUUAUGUGCAGAAAUAUGCAACAUCGCCAACUGAUUUGAAUCAUUCAUAUUUGUCCACAGAGAUUUAAACUUUCAGGAAUAAUCAAGCAUAUUUUCAGAGCAACUGAAUUCAGUUUCAGUCUAAUAAAAGCAAUUUAAAGUUAUCAUAGUAACCAAUACAAAUCUGAGUAGUUUCAUUCAAAUUCAGUUUUUGAAGAAAUAAAACUGUCAUAAUAAUAACACAGUUCUAUUUUUAACAGGCUAUUGAAAUUCAAUAUAUUAAUGCAAUCAUUCAUGUGAAACACAAAUUUUGUUAAAGCCUUUUUUAGGGAAGAUAUGUUUAUAUAGUGGUUCAAUUUGUAUGCUAAUUUGCUAAUUGUUGUAUGUACCUGAGUUUAAAGACAUAUAUUCCACAUAUGACAUAUAAAGACAUAGUUAUUCACUUUAAGAGCAGCUUGAAAAUACUUUCUUGUUUUUAAGAACUAAAGUACUUUGCAGUCCUGUUUCAAUGUAGAAACCUCUGUGUGCCUGAUGUUUAACUUUAUUAUUUUUUUGCUGCUGUGGCAGGAUUAUUAUUGUGCAGCGCUAAGAAAACUUACUCUCCUAUGCACCAGUGGCAGAUUUUAAGUUGAUUGAAUAUUUUGUUGUUUAUUGAGGGGUAGUUAUUGCAGUGUGACAGCAAUGAAGAAAAAAAAAGGAUCAAUUGAAAAUUUAAACAUGAUAUUUGUUGUCUGAUUGGUAAGAGGACAUAAUAUUUACCACUUAUGCCAAUAUUCACAAGAAAAUCACUAAU
ensembl:lncRNA